ensembl:lncRNA
CGGCAAGGCUGGGAUGGUCAGUUUGGUAAAGUAAAUCCGUUGGGCAUCUUUCUUUGCCUUUAGACAACAAUUCUGAUGGCAAAAGAGCCAAACGGGACAGGCCAAAAAAAAAAAAAAAAAAAAAAAAAAAAAAAGAUAUCUAUGUAAUGAAAGGCAUUUUGUUGGAUUUCUAAAUAAUAACAACUAUUUUACUAAUAUUAGCAUUUUGAUAAUAAUAAUAAUAAUAAUAAUGAUAAUAAUUAUUAUUAUUUUAAUGACAGUGUUGACAGGUGGCUACACUUCUCCACCUCUUCUACCUGUCACCAUUGUCCACAGUGAUAAGCUGUUGCUAACCACAUGGUCUUGUGAGAGUUGAAAGGAUUAUUAUUUCUCAUUAAAUUGUAACUAGAAGGAGCUGACCCCAUAGAGAAGAACACCAACAGGGACAUGUAGAGAGGCAGAGUGAGGCUUGGUUCAGUAAUGAGCACAUCUCGUCCCAUACAAAAACUUAUUAAACGUGUAGUGGUCAAGAAAGUCACAAUGGGACUAGGACAAGAUCACAUACAGCACAAGACCACCAAACAACCUUAAUAAUGCAGAAGCUGGCUUUGUGCUGCUGUUGAAGUUGUCAAUCUUCAGCGCAAGUAGCCAUGUUUGUCUAAUCCAGCAAGAGGUUUCUCCACUCCAAGGCAUAUUAAUGAGAUUUUCACAUCUCGUCUCCUCUUCAGGGAGGAGAGCUAAAGAACUGGAGUAAACCCUUUCAAAUUAACACGUACAGUCCCAAGCCUUUUCGCAGCACUUGUUCUCUAGUGACUGACCAUUAAAACACAUUUUAAAAGAAAAGAAAAUAAGAAAAAAAUAAUUAAAUUAAAGCAUUAAGCAAAGAGAAAAAAAAAGAAAAAAAAAGAAAAAAAAAAAAAGAAAAGAAAAACCAGGGCAGCUUCAUCGUAUUUUGCCCAGAGCCCUGGUUCUCCUACUAUCAAUUACCACUCUGUUCUGUAUUAUCUGGGAUUCAGCUGGUAUACUGACAGAACAGGAACUCAUAUGAUUUUUAACACCAUAGGAGCAGUGUGAAAAGAUAAUUAUGCCCCC